rnacentral:rRNA from 1 species
CAGUCGCCACGGUAAUACGGAGGGGGCUAGCGUUGUUCGGAAUUACUGGGCGUAAAGCGCACGUAGGCGGCGAUUUAAGUCAGAGGUGAAAGCCCGGGGCUCAACCCCGGAACUGCCUUUGAUACUGGGUAUCUCGAGUCCGGAAGAGGUGAGUGGAAUUCCGAGUGUAGAGGUGAAAUUCGUAGAUAUUCGGAGGAACACCAGUGGCGAAGGCGGCUCACUGGUCCGGUACUGACGCUGAGGUGCGAAAGCGUGGGGAGCAAACAGGAUUAGAUACCCCAGUAGUCCCUGUCUCUUAUAC